UUUUAGGAUUUUUUUAUUUUUUUGAAUUCAAAUUUGAAUUUUGAAUUUGGGCCGGUUUGGUACCGGCCCAAACCGGAACCGGUCCGGACCGGUAACCGGUCAAACCGGACCGGUUCCCACCGGUUUUGCAAACCCUGAGUUGGGUGUCUUAGUUAUAACUAAUAACAUUGAGCAUGCUAUUCACAUUGUCAUAAAACAACCGAGUGUGUAGUCUGUAGUGCAUGGCAGAUCCGAAUAUGAAUUGUGAAUUUGUGAUAGUUUGUGGAGGCAGGAUGUCAGUCAGAUAAGUAGGACAAAAUAGUAUAACAGGUUUUUUCCUAUUGACAUGUGCAGAAGGUUUGCAGUUUUGUGCCUAGUUGUUACUAGAAGGUUUGUGCGUUAAAAUAAUGCUAGAUAUUGAUGAUUUAGCUUUCCUCAGACUAUGUCAUAUGGAUUGGUAUCAAGCAAGUUUCAAGUAAUAACUGCAUAAGUUACCCUGAUAAAUAAUAACUGCAUAUACCUUGAUACUAACCAAGCUUGUUAAUAGAGAAAAAUGUUUCUUCCUCUAUUUGGAACAGAAUAUAUAUGGGAUCUACCAAUAGCGUAUAUCAGCAGAGUUGGGCUCCUGGAAAGUAAAUUUGACCUUCAAGAGCUGGCACCAAACCUUGAGGACGAAAAGUUUGAUGAUUGGUGGGCAACUGCAAGUGGAAGGGUGACUGGUCAGGUUCUUAAUGGGUUGAAUUCCAUCAUAAUUCUGGGAGCCUGGAACUUGUGGAAUCACCGUAGUCGUUGUGUAUUUGAUGGCGCUUCACCCAGCAUCUCUAACAUCAUCUCAUCCACCUGUGUAGACAUGCAUCAGUGGUCUUUGGCUGGGGCUAGAGGAGUUUCCUAUCUCCUUGCACUGGCACCUGGGGACCGUUAGAGGUUUUGGAUUUGGUUUUGGUCCUGUCCUGGUCAAGUCCUAGUUUUGGAGUGUUAAUGUCAUGAGGAUGUAAUAUAUAUGGGGGGUUACAGCCCCUUCAUAUCUGUAACAUUUGGGAUAAAACCCCUUCCUUUUCCUUCUUAAUAUAAUGAUGCGCAGUUCUCCUGCGCGUUCGAGAAAAAAAA